rnacentral:rRNA from 1 species
AUUGAACGCUGGCGGCAUGCCUUACACAUGCAAGUCGAACGGUAACAGGUCUUCGGAUGCUGACGAGUGGCGAACGGGUGAGUAAUACAUCGGAACGUGCCCGAUCGUGGGGGAUAACGCAGCGAGAGCUGUGCUAAUACCGCAUACGAUCUACGGAUGAAAGCGGGGGAUCGCAAGACCUCGCGCGGACGGAGCGGCCGAUGGCAGAUUAGGUAGUUGGUGGGGUAAAGGCUCACCAAGCCUGCGAUCUGUAGCUGGUCUGAGAGGACGACCAGCCACACUGGGACUGAGACACGGCCCAGACUCCUACGGGAGGCAGCAGUGGGGAAUUUUGGACAAUGGGCGCAAGCCUGAUCCAGCCAUGCCGCGUGCAGGAUGAAGGCCUUCGGGUUGUAAACUGCUUUUGUACGGAACGAAAAGACUCUUUCUAAUAAAGAGGGUUCAUGACGGUACCGUAAGAAUAAGCACCGGCUAACUACGUGCCAGCCGCCGCGGUAA